rnacentral:rRNA from 1 species
UACGUAGGGUGCAAGCGUUAAUCGGAAUUACUGGGCGUAAAGCGUGCGCAGGCGGCUCCUUAAGUCAGAUGUGAAAGCCCCGGGCUUAACCUGGGAACUGCGUUUGAAACUGGGGAGCUAGAGUGUAGAAGAGGGGGGUGGAAUUCCAGGUGUAGCAGUGAAAUGCGUAGAGAUCUGGAGGAAUACCGGUGGCGAAGGCGGCAUCCUGGACCAUUACUGACGCUGAGGCGCGAAAGCUAGGGGAGCAAACGGG